rnacentral:hammerhead_ribozyme from 1 species
AUCCAGCUGAGGAGUCCCAAAUAGGACGAAACGCGCGUGCUGUGU